GAUGAACGCUGGCGGCGUGCCUAAUACAUGCAAGUCGAGCGAACAGACGAGGAGCUUGCUCCUCUGACGUUAGCGGCGGACGGGUGAGUAACACGUGGAUAACCUACCUAUAAGACUGGGAUAACUUCGGGAAACCGGAGCUAAUACCGGAUAAUAUAUUGAACCGCAUGGUUCAAUAGUGAAAGACGGUUUUGCUGUCACUUAUAGAUGGAUCCGCUCCGCAUUAGCUAGUUGGUAAGGUAACGGCUUACCAAGGCAACGAUGCGUAGCCGACCUGAGAGGGUGAUCGGCCACACUGGAACUGAGACACGGUCCAGACUCCUACGGGAGGCAGCAGUAGGGAAUCUUCCGCAAUGGGGGAAAGCCUGACGGAGCAACGCCGCGUGAGUGAUGAAGGUCUUCGGAUCGUAAAACUCUGUUAUUAGGGAAGAACAAAUGUGUAAGUAACUAUGCACGUCUUGACGGUACCUAAUCAGAAAGCCACGGCUAACUACGUG
rnacentral:rRNA from 1 species